rnacentral:lncRNA from 1 species
CUUUACAACUUCAGAAGUCAUCUUUCCUUCAACAAGAUCUAUUCAUUGUCCCUUCUAACGCUUUCUCCAAAAUCAUAAGAUACAUUUGACUUUCCUCUGAUAUACUUAAGAACAGCUAUCUGGCUUCUUUUACUUUACAGAAGCAGAAAGAAGGAAUGAAAAGGAACAGGCUAACAGAAUGGAGACCAGGACGGGAACAGGCACAUUGAUUGCCUCAUGAAGAUAGGGUCGGCUAGACUCAGCAAACCGCUCAAAGCUCGUACUGAAAGUCGCUGGAAACAGGUGCACCGGAGCUGGAGAGAAGCUCAAGCAGAGAGAAGCGCACCCACGCACACAACUGCCCCCUCGCUGCUGUAUCAUGAGGACCUGUUGCUUUCUGUCUGCUUCUACCUAGCAGAGAGUGCCUCUGGACCCCCAAAUGCCGUAGUAUCUUCAGGCUUCUUGGAUGUUUCUGAACAGCAAGAACACUUGUGGAAAUCAUAGUAGCUGGUGGAACUGCUUCAGAAUGACACCUGAAGUCUUUUGAGUCAUCACUGGUGUACUCUUGUUUUCAGAUACUGUGCCCCCCACCCCUGAAACAGAUGUGAAAAUAAGCCCUGAUUUCCAGUAUAUCUUUAUCCAGAAGAAAUAAAGAAUCAGAAUUGAAAAACA